rnacentral:rRNA from 1 species
UGGGGAAUAUUGGACAAUGGGCGCAAGCCUGAUCCAGCCAUGCCGCGUGGAUGAUGAAGGCCUUAGGGUUGUAAAACACUUUCAGCGGGGAAGAUGAUGACGGUACCCGCAGAAGAAGCCCCGGCUAACUCCGUGCCAGCAGCCGCGGUAAUACGGAGGGGGCUAGCGUUGUUCGGAAUUACUGGGCGUAAAGGGCGUGUAGGCGGCCUGCCAAGUCAGAUGUGAAAGCCCCGGGCUUAACCUGGGAACUGCAUUUGAGACUGGCCGGCUAGAGGUUGGAAGAGGAGAGUGGAAUUCCCAGUGUAGAGGUGAAAUUCGUAGAUAUUGGGAAGAACACCAGUGGCGAAGGCGGCUCUCUGGUCCACACCUGACGCUGAGGCACGAAAGCGUGGGGAUCAAACAGGAUUAGAUACCCUGGUAGUCCCUGAGCGGGCUGGCAAGGCGCAU